rnacentral:rRNA from 1 species
UGGGGGAGAACCCAGUGCUGAAGUAAACACAUUAAGUACUCCGCCUGUGAAGUACGCUCGCAAGAGUGAAACAUAAAGGAAUUGACGGGUGCCCGCACAAGCGGUGGAGCAUGUGGUUUAAUUCGACGCAACGCGAAGAACCUUACCAGGGCUUGACAUACCAAUAAAGGCCCCAGAGAUGGGGAGAUAGAUAUAUUGGAUACAGGUGGUGCAUGGUUGUCGUCAGCUCGUGUCGUGAGAUGUUGGGUUAAGUCCCGCAACGAGCGCAACCCUUGUCGAUAGUUGCCAACAGUAAGAUGGGGACUCUAUUGAGACUGCCUCUGUAAGGAGGAGGAAGGUGGGGAUGACGUCAAAUCAUCAUGCCCUUUAUGUCCUGGGCUACACACGUGCUACAAUGGGUAGGACAAAGAGCAGCGAGCCCGCGAGGGGGAGCGAAUCUCAUAAACCUAUUCUCAGUUCGGAUUGGAGUCUGCAACUCGACUGCAUGAAGAUGGAAUCGCUAGUAAUCGCGAAUCAGCAACGUCGCGGUGAAUACGUUCUCGGGCAUUGUACACACCGCCCGUCAAACCAUGAGAGUCGGAAAUACCCGAAGUCAUUAUCCUAACCCGCAAGGGAGGGAGGUGCCUAAGGUAGAGCUGAUGAUUGGGGUUAAGUCGUAACAAGGUAUCCCUACGGGAACGUGGGGAUG